ACAGUGUGGCAAAAGUUUAGGACUACAGGGGACAACAGUGAACUGUGCAUGGGCUGAGCUCGAGAGAACUUGCUGAGGUCCCGUAGAAAAUAAUACCGACUGUGGCAUCAUAC